rnacentral:tRNA from 1 species
AGCCCAGUGGUGAUAUCACAUCAAAAUGCAAGUUUGAAGAAGCACCCUAAUAGGUGCCGGGGCUU